rnacentral:rRNA from 1 species
UACGUAGGGGGCAAGCGUUGUCCGGAAUCAUUGGGCGUAAAGAGCGUGUAGGCGGCCUGGUAAGUCCGCUGUGAAAGUCCAGGGCUCAACCCUGGAAUGCCGGUGGAAACUGUCAGGCUCGAGUCCGGAAGAGGCGAGUGGAAUUCCUGGUGUAGCGGUGAAAUGCGCAGAUAUCAGGAGGAACACCAAUGGCGAAGGCAGCUCGCUGGGACGGUACUGACGCUGAGACGCGAAAGCGUGGGGGAGC